UUUGAUCCUGGCUCAGGAUGAACGCUGGCGGCGUGCUUAACACAUGCAAGUCGAACGGUGAAGCCCAGCUUGCUGGGUGGAUCAGUGGCGAACGGGUGAGUAACACGUGAGCAAUCUGCCCCUGACUCUGGGAUAAGCGCUGGAAACGGCGUCUAAUACUGGAUAUGAGCUGCGAUCGCAUGGUCAGUAGCUGGAAAGAUUUUUUGGUCAGGGAUGAGCUCGCGGCCUAUCAGCUUGUUGGUGAGGUAAUGGCUCACCAAGGCGUCGACGGGUAGCCGGCCUGAGAGGGUGACCGGCCACACUGGGACUGAGACACGGCCCAGACUCCUACGGGAGGCAGCAGUGGGGAAUAUUGCACAAUGGGCGCAAGCCUGAUGCAGCAACGCCGCGUGAGGGAUGACGGCCUUCGGGUUGUAAACCUCUUUUAGCAGGGAAGAAGCGAAAGUGACGGUACCUGCAGAAAAAGCGCCGGCUAACUACGUGCCAGCAGCCGCGGUAAUACGUAGGGCGCAAGCGUUAUCCGGAAUUAUUGGGCGUAAAGAGCUCGUAGGCGGUUUGUCGCGUCUGCUGUGAAAUCCCGAGGCUCAACCUCGGGUCUGCAGUGGGUACGGGCAGACUAGAGUGCGGUAGGGGAGAUUGGAAUUCCUGGUGUAGCGGUGGAAUGCGCAGAUAUCAGGAGGAACACCGAUGGCGAAGGCAGAUCUCUGGGCCGUAACUGACGCUGAGGAGCGAAAGGGUGGGGAGCAAACAGGCUUAGAUACCCUGGUAGUCCACCCCGUAAACGUUGGGAACUAGUUGUGGGGUCCAUUCCACGGAUUCCGUGACGCAGCUAACGCAUUAAGUUCCCCGCCUGGGGAGUACGGCCGCAAGGCUAA
rnacentral:rRNA from 1 species